rnacentral:rRNA from 1 species
GACGAACGCUGGCGGCGUGCCUAAUACAUGCAAGUCGAGCGGACUUGAAGGAGUGCUUGCACUCCUGAGAGUUAGCGGCGGACGGGUGAGUACACGUAGGCAACCUGCCCUCAAGACUGGGAUAACUACCGGAAACGGUAGCUAAUACCGGAUAAUUUAUUACAUAGCAUUAUGUGAUAAUGAAAGACGGAGCAAUCUGUCACUUGGGGAUGGGCCUGCGGCGCAUUAGCUAGUUGGUGGGGUAACGGCCCACCAAGGCGACGAUGCGUAGCCGACCUGAGAGGGUGAACGGCCACACUGGGACUGAGACACGGCCCAGACUCCUACGGGAGGCAGCAGUAGGGAAUCUUCCGCAAUGGGCGAAAGCCUGACGGAGCAACGCCGCGUGAGUGAUGAAGGUUUUCGGAUCGUAAAGCUCUGUUGCCAAGGAAGAACGUCUCAUAGAGUAACUGCUAUGAGAGUGACGGUACUUGAGAAGAAAGCCCCGGCUAACUACGU